UGAGACACGGCCCAGACUCCUACGGGAGGCAGCAGUGGGGAAUAUUGCACAAUGGGCGGAAGCCUGAUGCAGCGACGCCGCGUGAGGGAUGACGGCCUUCGGGUUGUAAACCUCUUUCAGUAGGGAAGAAGCGAGAGUGACGGUACCUGCAGAAGAAGCGCCGGCUAACUACGUGCCAGCAGCCGCGGUAAUACGUAGGGCGCAAGCGUUGUCCGGAAUUAUUGGGCGUAAAGAGCUCGUAGGCGGUUUGUCGCGUCUGCUGUGAAAGCCCGGGGCUCAACCCCGGGUCUGCAGUGGGUACGGGCAGACUAGAGUGCAGUAGGGGAGACUGGAAUUCCUGGUGUAGCGGUGAAAUGCGCAGAUAUCAGGAGGAACACCGAUGGCGAAGGCAGGUCUCUGGGCUGUUACUGACGCUGAGGAGCGAAAGCAUGGGGAGCGAACAGGAUUAGAUACCCUGGUAGUCCAUGCCGUAAACGUUGGGCACUAGGUGUGGGGGACAUUCCACGUUUUCCGCGCCGUAGCUAACGCAUUAAGUGCCCCGCCUGGGGAGUACGGCCGCAAGGCUAAAACUCAAAGGAAUUGACGGGGGCCCGCACAAGCGGCGGAGCAUGCGGAUUAAUUCGAUGCAACGCGAAGAACCUUACCAAGGCUUGACAUUCACCGGACCGCCCCAGAGAUGGGGUUUCCCUUCGGGGCUGGUGGACAGGUGGUGCAUGGUUGUCGUCAGCUCGUGUCGUGAGAUGUUGGGUUAAGUCCCGCAACGAGCGCAACCCCUAUCCUUAGUUGCCAGCAUUUGGUUGGGCACUCUAAGGAGACUGCCGGUGACAAACCGGAGGAAGGUGGGGAUGACGUCAAAUCAUCAUGCCCCUUAUGAUUUGGGCUACACACGUGCUACAAUGGACAAUACAAAGGGUAGCGAAACCGCGAGGUCAAGCAAAUCCCAUAAAGUUGUUCUCAGUUCGGAUUGUAGUCUGCAACUCGACUAUAUGAAGCUGGAAUCGCU
rnacentral:rRNA from 1 species